rnacentral:misc_RNA from 2 species
CACACUCCAAGCUCUGCUUGAUGCUGGGUGAAGCGCGGCCCCCUGGCGACGGGGGGAAAGCGCACGCCUGUAACACGUUGGCGGCCGCCGCCGGACGACGAGCGUAGCACGACUUUUUUACAUGGUCAAGAUCGCUGUGUCGGCUCCGGCGGGGGGUCUCGCCCAGUCUUGUACGGGCUGCUGUAUGUAGCGGUCCGUAAGAGA